rnacentral:lncRNA from 1 species
AAACACGUUUCACACCUCUAUCCUCCCAAAUCAGAGCUUCUCCUCUCAGAAAUCACUCAAGCUUCUCUCCUCUCGUAGCGAUGAAAUUGCUCGAGCUCCCCCCCAUCAGAAAUCAAUCUGGCAUGUUCUUAAUUCUCCCCGAAAAUGAGAAAUUGAUACGGCAUGUUCUUCUCCCCCAAAAUGAGAAAUCGAUUCAACAUGUUCUUCUCUGACCCACUCACUUCCGUUUCCCAAAUCAGAAAUCGCUCAAGCUCUUCUCCCCCAAACAGGUUUCUUCCUUCCACCCUCUCUCUCUCUAUAUGUAUGUAUAUACAUAUGUUUGUCAAUUUUUAUACGUCUUCUCGUUGUUGAGUUUAUGUUAUAUAUAAGCCUCAUUGUUGUUUGUUGGUGUGAAUUGGGUACCGGGUAUUGUCUAAUUUUAUGUGGUUUAAAUUUUAUUGAAUUAUGGUGUUUUACAAGCUAGGGUUUUUGUGGUGUAUUUUAUUGAUUUGGGUGAAUUACUUGUAACUCGGCUUCAUGGUUGUGUUUUUGUGUGGUUAUGAAUUAUGGUUCUCUCUAGGGAUUUUUCAUAGUAAUCAAUGAUCUCUGAUUUGGAAUUGAGCCCUUUUGGAGGAGUAUCCAGUAGCGCUAGUUCUUGUAGAUAAAGAAAUACUGGAAAUGGAAGAAGAAAAUCUGAAAAUGUUGUUACUGGAGAAUAAAAAAGAGCUGAUUGUAUAGGGGCUGUUGUAAUUUUUCUUGGAUGUUUGAAAUUUGGUGGCUAUUGAAAGGGAAAAAUAUAUAUCGACUAGGGUUAACUGAAGUGCAGGUGAUAAUUUGAGGUUUAUGUCCAUGGAAGUAGAUGCUGAGGUUUAUUUUUAAUCUUUUGCACACGGGUCCUUUUCAGUUAGCUCAAUAGCACCUUGACUUGUUACAUAAUGUAAAUUAUUCCAUCAGGUGAUUACCAACAAAAUAAAGAAGAAUACUUAAUUAGAGAUGUUACAGUAUCAUUGAGCAUAUUGUUUGACUUGAAUUUCACGACAGAUUGUUGGAGUAACUGGUUUUGUUUUGACAAAGCUUGAUGGUUUUUGCCAGUGGUAGCUGUGUGGUAUGCGUGUUUUUUGUACAACUCUCUGUGGUUCACAUAUUUGAUACUCUGUACAGGUUGCCAUAUAUUUCUGCAUACACAAUCACCUUUUAGUAUUUCAUGUUAAGAAUAUUAAAUAUAUAAAAUAGAUAUUGCUUACAUGUAUAGGUGAAAAUUGUAUGACCUUCUGUUUGUUAACAUUUUAUAGGGGUUUGGAUGUGUUUGUACAGGUUGCCAAAGUUAUUUCAUGAUUAUGCUUUUAAAAGAGUUCCCUUCAUUUGACGGGUUCAGUUUCAAUUAGUAUUUAGCCAUAUUUUGGAUCUAUAAUUAACUAAAACAUAUCUUCCUGUGUUGCUCUUUUCUUCUGAUCUUAUGUCAAUUAUUUUGUGAAGGACUCACGAAUGAAGUCGGGAAGCAGGCAACUUCAUCCGCUGUUCCUGCAAUGCGUGGAAAUGAGUCUUCCACUCCAGAUGCAGGAGGAAUGGCUAAUGCCGGAUCUAGGGAGAAGAGUAUGCAAUCGCAGCUUUGAAUAAAGUAAAGCAAAUAAUUGAGUAGCUAAUGUGGAAUUUGGUAUCUGACAAAAAAUUAUCAGUUGAUUUGCAAGCCAGAAAUUACAUAUUUAGACAGAUUAAUGCACUUGUAGAAUACUGAAACAUAAAUGAGAUUGUUGUAUUCCAUUACAAAAGAUUAUUAAUCCAUAUGAGAAUUCAGAAUUGAAAUACUGAGAGCAGUUGAUUAUUAUCUGUGUUUGAUAUUUCAUUUUUCUGUAAUAUUUAUAACAUUUGAAUGUUGUAAGCUAUAUAACUUCUUGUUUUUGUGGAAUGUAAUUGACAUUAAGGACCUCAAUUAGGGAAUUGUGACCAACUUAUUAUCUGAAAAGCAAGCCAAUCCAGAGAUAAAAUUAUAUUUCUAAUGAAUCACACAACACCAUUACGAAAUACGGAUGUAAUUUAGAAACUAACAUGCAUGUCUUUAAAACGAAAACAACUCAACAAUACUAAGCAGUUCCAGCUGCUUACUAUGGAAGACAGUACUACAAAUGGUGAUUUUUUGAGUGUAAUGUUUUACUUUCCUGACAAACUCAGGGUUUCUAUUUAUAUUGCUGUUGCGAUUACUACUUGCUUCAUUAGCUGAUGAUCAUGGCCUUAGUCUUUUGGGAGACGUAACACCACCAGGUGCAAGAAUAGUAGGUGCAGAAGAUUUGUCUCUGGAUGAUACUGCCAUUCGAGGUGCAUGUUUCAUGAAUUCCAGUUCAUUUGACAUUAGGGAGUUGAUUGUCCCAGUGGUUCCAACUUUGAUGGACCUUCCACCACCUUUGAUGGCCUCCAAUGUCUAAACCAUGUUUUUCUUCAAUCUCUAUCAGAGUUAUGAGUAGAACUUUUGUAAGAGAAACUUUUAAAAUCUCUUCAACUAGUUGGAACAGAAUAUGAGUAAAUGCAGUUUAACC